CGCAAGCCUGACGGAGCAAGACCGCGUGGGGGAUGACGGCCUAAUGGUUGUAAACCCCUUUUCUCUGGGAAGAAGACUGACGGUACCAGAGGAAUCAGCCUCGGCUAACUCCGUGCCAGUAGCCGCGGUAAUACGGAGGAGGCAAGCGUUAUCCGGAAUUAUUGGGCGUAAAGCGUCCGUAGGUGGUUAUUCAAGUCUGCUGUCAAAGCGUGGGGCUUAACUCCAUAGAGGCAGUGGAAACUGAGUGACUAGAGUGCGGUAGGGGUCGAGGGAAUUCCCAGUGUAGCGGUGAAAUGCGUAGAUAUUGGGAAGAACACCAGUGGCGAAAGCGCUCGACUGGGCCUGCACUGACACUGAGGGACGAAAGCUAGGGGAGCG
rnacentral:rRNA from 1 species